AGAGCGAACGCUGGCGGCGUGCUUAACACAUGCAAGUCGAACGAGGUCUGUAGCAAUACAGAUACUCGUGGCGAACGGGUGCGUAACACGUGGAUAACCUUCCUUCAGGUGGGGAAUAACCCAGUGAAAAUUGGGCUAAUACCGCAUAACAUGACGAUGCCACAUGGUGUUGUCUUCAAAGGCGCAAGUCGCCAGAAGAGGGAUCCGCGGCCGAUUAGUUAGUUGGCGGGGUAAUGGCCCACCAAGACGAUGAUCGGUA
rnacentral:rRNA from 1 species